GAUGAACGCUGGCGGCGUGCCUAAUACAUGCAAGUCGAGCGAACGGACGAGAAGCUUGCUUCUCUGAUGUUAGCGGCGGACGGGUGAGUAACACGUGGAUAACCUACCUAUAAGACUGGGAUAACUUCGGGAAACCGGAGCUAAUACCGGAUAAUAUUUUGAACCGCAUGGUUCAAAAGUGAAAGACGGUCUUGCUGUCACUUAUAGAUGGAUCCGCGCUGCAUUAGCUAGUUGGUAAGGUAACGGCUUACCAAGGCAACGAUGCAUAGCCGACCUGAGAGGGGGAACGGCCACACUGGAACUGAGACACGGUCCAGACUCCUACGGGAGGCAGCAGUAGGGAAUCUUCCGCAAGGGGCGAAAGCCUGACGGAGCAACGCCGCGUGAGUGAUGAAGGUCUUCGGAUCGUAAAACUCUGUUAUUAGGGAAGAACAUAUGUGUAAGUAACUGUGCACAUCUUGACGGUACCUAAUCAGAAAGCCACGGCUAACUACGUG
rnacentral:rRNA from 1 species